AGCGCAGGCGGCCAAGUCAGUCUGAAGUGAAAGCCCCGGGGCUUAACCCCCGGAAUAGCUUUGGAUACUGCCUGGCUUGAGUGUGCGAUAGGAAAGCGGAAUUCCAGGUGUAGCGGUGAAAUGCGUAGAUAUCUGGAGGAACACCGGUGGCGAAAGCGGCUUUCUGGCGCAUAACUGACGCUGAGGGCUCGAAAGCGUGGGGAGCGAACG
rnacentral:rRNA from 1 species